GGCAGACAAGUGGCAAAACACAGAGCCUGUCCUUCAAGAAGCAGAUAGCUCCAACCCCAGGCUGCCUUGGCUCCAGUCUGCCAGGGGCUAUGGCAGGAAUUUCCUGAGCCAUCCUUUCUAGCUGGGCUUCUCACACUGUCCUGUGAAAGUGGAUGUCUGAGGGAGCAGGAGAGAGGGCUCCACUGGACCUCAAACAAACAAACAAACAAACAAAACACAACAUUGGAGAGUCUUCCCUUUUACAUGUUGUCUGGGUGUGUUUGUAUAAUAUUUGAUAAACAAGUAUUUAAAAGUUUAUUAAAACUAACCUGUGAAAUCAUCUGGAUCUCCACAGAAGGAAAACAAGAUAGAGAUCCUCAGCAUGGGAUCUGUGAACCUCAGAGGAAUCCACAAACCUGAAAAAAUUCCAAAUUAUGAAGUUGCUGUGGCUUUUAUAAGGAAGAUUUCUGGAGAGUCCCUCAGCAUUUCAGUGGUGUUUCCCAAAUCUAUAAAGACUAAGAACUGCAGAUUAAAGAAGAUGUGUUUUAGAAAUUCUAGCUUUAAAGUUCUGACCCAGAAGCCAACUGUGGAUUUUCCUUUGUGGUGUUUCCCUUCCCUCAAAAGGAUAAAAUGUGACCUUAUCAGAUGUUCCAGCAGUCCAGAUAUUGUAGUUCUUUCUGGGCAAAAGUCCAUAUCCUGUAAUCAUUUCUGUUGUGAUAAGGUUUAACUUUCCCACCAUACAUCGUUUGCUUCUAAGUGAGCUCUGUCUGUCAGUCUCGUCUAAGCAUACGGCAUUCAUAAAGGGAACACUGUCACCCAGGAAAAGUUUGACCAGCAUGGAGAAAGGAGAUAAUCCCAACCUUGAUUUGGACGCUAUGCUUCCGUUGAUACCACCUAAGAUUACAAAGAUACAUAACCCUUUGGUCUCACAUCUACUGUUUUUGACAAGUAAGAUUACUAAAUCUUUCUCUUCAUGUUAACACUGAAUUCAGUCACUUUUUAUUUGUCAUAUACACCUCUAGCUGAUUUUGAGAAAGGCAGCACUUUGUGUAUAAUAGUUUUAAAUUUUAUUUUAUUGUAUUUGGUAAUUGUUUAGUAUAUCAAAGAUUUGGAAAUCCUGAUGUCUCUUGCAGUAUCAAUUGUCUCUCCCAUUCCCAGGCUAUUUGUUGGCAUAUUUAUCAUGAUCUUAAUGAUCUGUCCAGGUGACUGAGUUCACUACUGAUCAGGAAAAGGAGACUAAAGGCACCUUUUCCUGUUGGGUGCUGAUUUAAGUUUAUCCAUGAGUCAGUGCACUCAGGAUACAAAAUAUACAGCCAAUUGUCAAUUCAGGGGACUAGAAGAGACUUCAGUCUACAUUUCUCUGUUUUGGCAGUUUAAAUAUGUAAAAUUUAUCCUAAUGAACUUGCUAAAUAGGUAACCCUCUUAUAUAAAGCACUAGAAAUUUUCCAUUCUAUCACAUGGAAACUACUGUAGAGACACAGAAAUCAAAUUCGCUUAGAGAUGGAAUGGGUGCUCCAGGUGGUGUUGAGGUCCCUAACAUUGAAGCCUUCAAGGAUCUGGUCAGUCACAGAUUGGAAAUAAAAUAGGAAAGACUUGGAGAUCAAAUAAAACAUUUAAUUCUGA